rnacentral:rRNA from 1 species
AGCGAACGCUGGCGGCAGGCUUAACACAUGCAAGUCGAGCGGGCACUUUCGGGUGUCAGCGGCGGACGGGUGAGUAACGCGUGGGAACGUGCCCGCUGGUUCGGAAUAACUCAGGGAAACUUGAGCUAAUACCGGAUACGCCCUUUUGGGGAAAGGCUUGCUGCCGGAGGAUCGGCCCGCGUCUGAUUAGCUAGUUGGUGAGGUAACGGCUCACCAAGGCGACGAUCAGUAGCUGGUCUGAGAGGAUGAUCAGCCACACUGGGACUGAGACACGGCCCAGACUCCUACGGGAGGCAGGAGUGGGGAAUAUUGGAAAAUGGGGGCAAGCAUGAUCGAGCCAUGCCGGGUGAGUGAUGAAGGCCUUAGGGUUGUAAAGCUCUUUUAUCCGGGACGAUAAUGACGGUACCGGAGGAAUAAGCCCCGGCUAACUUCGUG